CCUACGGGCGGCAGCAGUGGGGAAUAUUGCACAAUGGGGGAAACCCUGAUGCAGCGACGCCGCGUGAGUGCAGAAGUAUCUCGGUACGUAAAGCUCUAUCAGCAGGGAAGAAAAUGACGGUACCUGACUAAGAAGCCCCGGCUAACUACGUGCCAGCAGCCGCGGUAAUACGUAGGGGGCAAGCGUUAUCCGGAUUUCCUGGGUGGAAAGGGAACGUAGACGGCAGAACAAGUCUGGAGUGAAAUCCCGGGGCUUAACCCCGGAACUGCUUUGGAAACGGGGGGGCUGGAGUGCAGGAGGGGUAAGCGGAAUUCCUAGUGUAGCGGUGAAAUGCGUAGAUAUUAGGAGGAACACCGGUGGCGAAGGCGGCUUACUGGACUGUAACUGACGUUGAGGCUCGAAAGCGUGGGGAGCAAACAGGAUUAGAUACCCUUGUAGUC
rnacentral:rRNA from 1 species